rnacentral:rRNA from 1 species
GGAGGGGGGGCUAGCGUUGUUCGGAAUUACUGGGCGUAAAGGGCGCGUAGGCGGGUAUGCCAUGUCAGGGGGGGUGAAAAGGGCCUGGGCUCAACCUAGGAACUGCCUUUGAAAACUGGCAAACUAGAGUCCGAAAGAGGAUGGCGGAAUUCCCAGUGUAGAGGUGAAAUUCGUAGAUAUUGGGAAGAACACCAGUGGCGAAGGCGGCCAUCUGAAUCGGCACUGACGCUGAGGCGCGAAAGCGUGGGGAGCAAACAGGAUUAGAUACCCUGGUAGUCCACGCCGUAAACGAUGUGUGCUAGACGUUGGGGGCCUUAGGCCCUGGGUGUCGCAGCUAACGCGUUAAGCACACCGCCUGGGGAGUACGGCCGCAAGGUUA